rnacentral:lncRNA from 1 species
AUGACCGCUGGUGAGACUUCCCAGCACUCUUUUCCCUGCUACGGCAGCCAUGGCGCUGUGUUCCCCGGUUGUGACGUUUCAAGAGAGAAGAUGGGAACUUUUCCAGGAAGUCUAAACCAAGUUAGAAAAAAUCUCAUCACACAAGACCUAGAAGCCUCCAGUUGUGGAACUCUCCAGUCCACAAGCCCAAUUCCAAUAGCAGAUUGAAGGGUCUGGAAAGAAAAAGAGAUUAAAAGCUCACUGAGAGUUCAAAUGCUGAAUAAAUAUUUACCAAGCACCUAUCACUCAGUAAAUAUGUCAGACAUUGAAGACACACUAGAAACAAGUUUCACCAGAAGCUUACAGACUAGUGGAGGAAAAUUGCAAGUGAGCAGACAAUUGUAAGAAGUAAGUCAAUGAUUAUAGAUGUGAUAGAUAUUUGACAGAAUUAAUAAAUGGGCAAAUAAUCUCAAUUUAGUAGUUUACAUUUCUAA